CUACGUGCCAGCAGCCGCGGUAAUACGUAGGGUGCGAGCGUUAAUCGGAAUUACUGGGCGUAAAGCGGGCGCAGACGGUUACUUAAGCAGGAUGUGAAAUCCCCGGGCUCAACCUGGGAACUGCGUUCUGAACUGGGUGACUAGAGUGUGUCAGAGGGAGGUAGAAUUCCACGUGUAGCAGUGAAAUGCGUAGAGAUGUGGAGGAAUACCGAUGGCGAAGGCAGCCUCCUGGGAUAACACUGACGUUCAUGCCCGAAAGCGUGGGUAGCAAACAGGAUUAGAUACCCUGGUAGUCCACGCCCUAAACGAUGUCGAUUAGCUGUUGGGCAGCAUGACUGCUUAGUAGCGAAGCUAACGCGUGAAAUCGACCGCCUGGGGAGUACGGUCGCAAGAUUAAAACUCAAAGGAAUUGACGGGGACCCGCMCAAGCGGUGGAUGAUGUGGAUUAAUUCGAUGCAACGCGAAGAACCUUACCKGUCUUGACAU
rnacentral:rRNA from 1 species